rnacentral:misc_RNA from 1 species
AAGGAUCAUUAACGAAUCUAAAGUCGAUAUGUUGUGCUGGUGGCAACACAUGUGCACACAUGUCGCAUACAUCCACACACCUGUGAACCCUAGACUCUGUGGCCGAUCGAACACCCGGACUUUUUGUCCACGUGUGAGGGGACCUCCGUGUCCUCCGUUCGCCCGGGGUACUUUUACACACGCCGAAUGUGAUAGAAUGUAUCUGUGCAUAACGCAUGACUAUACAACUUUCAACAACGGAUCUCUUGGCUCUCGCAUCGAUGAAGAACGCAGCGUAGCCGCAUCGAUGUGGAAGUAAAAGUCGUAACAAG